AAUGAACGUUGGCGGCGUGGAUUAGGCAUGCAAGUCGUGCGGAAAGGCUCCUUCGGGAGUACUCGAGCGGCGAAAGGGAGAGUGACACGUGGGUACCUGCCCCCAGGACCGGAAUAGCAGCGGGAAACUGCUGGUAAUGCCGGAUAAUAUCUCAGGAUCAAAGGUUUCGGCCGCCUGAGGAUGGGCCCGCGUCCUAUUAGCUUGUUGGUGGGGUAAUGGCCUACCAAGGCUGCGAUGGGUACCGGGCGUGAGAGCGUGGCCCGGCUCACUGGGACUGAGACACUGCCCAGACACCUACGGGUGGCUGCAGUCGAGAAUCUUCGGCAAUGGGCGCAAGCCUGACCGAGCGACGCCGCGUGCGGGAUGAAGGCCUUCGGGUUGUAAACCGCUGUCAGAGGGGAGGAAAUGCUUGGUAACCCCAAGUUUGACCUAUCCUCAGAGGAAGUCCGGGCUAAGUUCGUG
rnacentral:rRNA from 1 species